UACGAAGGGGGCUAGCGUUGCUCGGAAUUACUGGGCGUAAAGGGCGCGUAGGCGGCGCUACUAGUCAGGCGUGAAAUUCCUGGGCUUAACCUGGGGGCUGCGCUUGAUACGGUGGUGCUAGAGGAUGGAAGAGGCUCGUGGAAUUCCCAGUGUAGAGGUGAAAUUCGUAGAUAUUGGGAAGAACACCGGUGGCGAAGGCGGCGAGCUGGUCCAUUACUGACGCUGAGGCGCGACAGCGUGGGGAGCAAACAGG
rnacentral:rRNA from 1 species